GGGUUGUGAGGUUAAGCGACUAAGCGUACACGGUGGAUGCCCUGGCAGUCAGAGGCGAUGAAGGACGUGCUAAUCUGCGAAAAGCGUCGGUAAGGUGAUAUGAACCGUUAUAACCGGCGAUGUCCGAAUGGGGAAACCCAGUGCAAUUCGUUGCACUAUCGUUAACUGAAUACAUAGGUUAACGAGGCGAACCGGGGGAACUGAAACAUCUAAGUACCCCGAGGAAAAGAAAUCAACCGAGAUUCCCCCAGUAGCGGCGAGCGAACGGGGAGCAGCCCAGAGUCUGAAUCAGCUUGUGUGUUAGUGGAACGGUCUGGAAAGUCCGACGGUACAGGGUGAUAGUCCCGUACACCAAAAUGCACAGGCUGUGAACUCGAAGAGUAGGGCGGGACACGUGGUAUCCUGUCUGAAUAUGGGGGGACCAUCCUCCAAGGCUAAAUACUCCUGACUGACCGAUAGUGAACCAGUACCGUGAGGGAAAGGCGAAAAGAACCCCGGCGAGGGGAGUGAAAAAGAACCUGAAACCGUGUACGUACAAGCAGUGGGAGCACCUUCGGGUGUGACUGCGUACCUUUUGUAUAAUGGGUCAGCGACUUAUAUUCUGUAGCAAGGUUAACCGUAUAGGGGAGCCGCAGGGAAACCGAGUCUUAACUGGGCGUUAAGUUGCAGGGUAUAGACCCGAAACCCGGUGAUCUAGCCAUGGGCAGGUUGAAGGUUGGGUAACACUAACUGGAGGACCGAACCGACUAAUGUUGAAAAAUUAGCGGAUGACUUGUGGCUGGGGGUGAAAGGCCAAUCAAACCGGGAGAUAGCUGGUUCUCCCCGAAAGCUAUUUAGGUAGCGCCUCGUGAAUUCAUCUUCGGGGGUAGAGCACUGUUUCGGCUAGGGGGUCAUCCCGACUUACCAACCCGAUGCAAACUACGAAUACCGAAGAAUGUUAUCACGGGAGACACACGGCGGGUGCUAACGUCCGUCGUGAAGAGGGAAACAACCCAGACCGCCAGCUAAGGUCCCAAAGUCAUGGUUAAGUGGGAAACGAUGUGGGAAGGCACAGACAGCCAGGAUGUUGGCUUAGAAGCAGCCAUCAUUUAAAGAAAGCGUAAUAGCUCACUGGUCGAGUCGGCCUGCGCGGAAGAUGUAACGGGGCUAAACCAUGCACCGAAGCUGCGGCAGCGACACUAUGUGUUGUUGGGUAGGGGAGCGUUCUGUAAGCCUGCGAAGGUGUGCUGUGAGGCAUGCUGGAGGUAUCAGAAGUGCGAAUGCUGACAUAAGUAACGAUAAAGCGGGUGAAAAGCCCGCUCGCCGGAAGACCAAGGGUUCCUGUCCAACGUUAAUCGGGGCAGGGUGAGUCGACCCCUAAGGCGAGGCCGAAAGGCGUAGUCGAUGGGAAACAGGUUAAUAUUCCUGUACUUGGUGUUACUGCGAAGGGGGGACGGAGAAGGCUAUGUUAGCCGGGCGACGGUUGUCCCGGUUUAAGCAUGUAGGCUGGUUGUCCAGGCAAAUCCGGAUAAUCAAGGCUGAGGUGUGAUGACGAGGCACUACGGUGCUGAAGUAACAAAUGCCCUGCUUCCAGGAAAAGCCUCUAAGCAUCAGGUAACAUCAAAUCGUACCCCAAACCGACACAGGUGGUCAGGUAGAGAAUACCAAGGCGCUUGAGAGAACUCGGGUGAAGGAACUAGGCAAAAUGGUGCCGUAACUUCGGGAGAAGGCACGCUGGUGUGUAGGUGAAGUCCCUGCGGAUGGAGCUGAGACCAGUCGAAGAUACCAGCUGGCUGCAACUGUUUAUUAAAAACACAGCACUGUGCAAACACGAAAGUGGACGUAUACGGUGUGACGCCUGCCCGGUGCCGGAAGGUUAAUUGAUGGGGUUAUCCGUAAGGAGAAGCUCUUGAUCGAAGCCCCGGUAAACGGCGGCCGUAACUAUAACGGUCCUAAGGUAGCGAAAUUCCUUGUCGGGUAAGUUCCGACCUGCACGAAUGGCGUAAUGAUGGCCAGGCUGUCUCCACCCGAGACUCAGUGAAAUUGAACUCGCUGUGAAGAUGCAGUGUACCCGCGGCAAGACGGAAAGACCCCGUGAACCUUUACUAUAGCUUGACACUGAACAUUGAGCCUUGAUGUGUAGGAUAGGUGGGAGGCUUUGAAGCGUGGACGCCAGUCUGCGUGGAGCCAACCUUGAAAUACCACCCUUUAAUGUUUGAUGUUCUAACGUUGGCCCCUUACCGGGGUUGCGGACAGUGUCUGGUGGGUAGUUUGACUGGGGCGGUCUCCUCCCAAAGCGUAACGGAGGAGCACGAAGGUUAGCUAAUCCUGGUCGGACAUCAGGAGGUUAGUGCAAUGGCAUAAGCUAGCUUGACUGCGAGCGUGACGGCGCGAGCAGGUGCGAAAGCAGGUCAUAGUGAUCCGGUGGUUCUGAAUGGAAGGGCCAUCGCUCAACGGAUAAAAGGUACUCCGGGGAUAACAGGCUGAUACCGCCCAAGAGUUCAUAUCGACGGCGGUGUUUGGCACCUCGAUGUCGGCUCAUCACAUCCUGGGGCUGAAGUAGGUCCCAAGGGUAUGGCUGUUCGCCAUUUAAAGUGGUACGCGAGCUGGGUUUAGAACGUCGUGAGACAGUUCGGUCCCUAUCUGCCGUGGGCGCUGGAGAA
rnacentral:rRNA from 1 species